GAUGAAGAACGCAGCGAAACGCGAUAGUUAAUGUGAAUUGCAGAAUUCAGUGAAUCAUCGAGUCUUUGAACGCACAUUGCGCCUUUUGGUAUUCCGAGAGGCACGCCUGUCUGAGCGUCAGUAAAACCCUUCGGUUUGACGAUUUAUUGUCUCGCCGGCGUUGGCGGUUUUUGGGGGUUCGUCCCCCGAUUCCGUUUAAACACUGACACGCGGAGAUUAAGGUGUUAAAGGAUUAACCCCUCAUCGAUUAGUAGAAAUAUUUAUCUUUGAAGAUUAUGACUUUAAAACCCCACCCGCUAUACAAAAAUAGGGAGCUUCUUUUUUGAGCAACCGACCUUGAAUUUUGACCUCAGAUCAGACGAGGAUACCCGCUGAACUUAAGCAUAUCAAUAAGCGGAGGA
rnacentral:misc_RNA from 1 species